AGAUUGAACGCUGGCGGCAUGCCUUACACAUGCAAGUCGAACGGCAGCACGGGAGCAAUCCUGGUGGCGAGUGGCGAACGGGUGAGUAAUACAUCGGAACGUGCCCAAUCGUGGGGGAUAACGCAGCGAAAGCUGUGCUAAUACCGCAUAAGAUCUACGGAUGAAAGCAGGGGAUCGCAAGACCUUGCGCGAAUGGAGCGGCCGAUGGCAGAUUAGGUAGUUGGUGAGGUAAAGGCUCACCAAGCCUUCGAUCUGUAGCUGGUCUGAGAGGACGACCAGCCACACUGGGACUGAGACACGGCCCAGACUCCUACGGGAGGCAGCAGUGGGGAAUUUUGGACAAUGGCGAAAGCCUGAUCCAGCCAUGCCGCGUGCAGGAUGAAGGCCUUCGGUUGUAAACGUGCGUUUGUACGGAACGAAAAGUACGUACUUUCUAAUAAAGAAGGAUCAUGACGGUAACCGUAAAGUAAUAAAGACACCGGACUAACUUAACCG
rnacentral:rRNA from 1 species